AGUGAACGCUGGCGGUAGGCCUAACACAUGCGAGUCGAACGGCAGCACAGUAAGAGCUUGCUCUUACGGGUGGCGAGUGGCGGACGGGUGAGGAAUACAUCGGAAUCUACUUUUUCGUGGGGGAUAACGUAGGGAAACUUACGCUAAUACCGCAUACGACCUACGGGUGAAAGCAGGGGAUCUUCGGACCUUGCGCGAUUGAAUGAGCCGAUGUCGGAUUAGCUAGUUGGCGGGGUAAAGGCCCACCAAGGCGACGAUCCGUAGCUGGUCUGAGAGGAUGAUCAGCCGCACUGGAACUGAGACACGGUCCAGACUCCUACGGGAGGCAGCAGUGGGGAAUAUUGGACAAUGGGCGCAAGCCUGAUCCAGCCAUACCGCGUGGGUGAAGAAGGCCUUCGGGUUGUAAAGCCCUUUUGUUGGGAAAGAAAAGCAGCAGGUUAAUACCCCGCUGUUCUGACGGUACCCAAAGAAUAAGCACCGGCUAACUUCGUG
rnacentral:rRNA from 1 species